CCUACGGGUGUCAGCAGUGGGGAAUAUUGCACAAUGGGGGAACCCCUGAUGCAGCGACGCCGCGUGAGUGAAGAAGUAAUUCGUUAUGUAAAGCUCUAUCAGCAGGGAAGAAAAUGACGGUACCUGAGUAAGAAUCCAUGGCUAAUUACGUGCAAGCAGCCGCGGAAAAACGUAGGAGGCAAGCGUUAUCCGGAGUUACUGGGUGUAAAGGGAGCGUAGACGGCAGUGCAAGUUUGGAGUGAAAGGCGGGGGCUCAACCCCCGGACUGUGAAGGAUACUGUAAGGCUGGAGUACAGGGGAGGUAGGUGGAAUUCCGAGUGUAGCGGUGAAAUGCGUAGAUAUUAGGAGGAACACCGAUGGCGAAGGCAGCUUACUAAACUGUAACUGACGUUGAGGCUCGAAAGCGUGGGGAGCAAACAGGAUUAGAUACCCUUGUAGUC
rnacentral:rRNA from 1 species